rnacentral:lncRNA from 1 species
CCCAUACAUUUUCAGUCUUUCCCGCCCUCAGCCAUACACUAAUCUUCAAGUUUCUUUUGUUGUUUUGUCAUGUCACUUUUAGAAAUGGUUUGUUUACUCAUGGAUGAAAAUUUCCCACCACCAAGGCCCAGUAUUCUUUUUAUCUUUGCCAUGGUUACUUCUGUUUCUUAAGGUGGCAUGUUUUGUUCUUAGAAUAUGAGUAUUUUUAGGGAGGCAUGUAUAUGAAUGAGUCAAUCUUAAUUUCUACUAUGUUUCAUGACUUAAUAGAAGGAAACUUUUCUAUUCUAGGGACAGUUUUUCAUCUGGGGCAGUUUUGCCUCUUAGUGGGUAUUUGGCAACUGAUUUGAUGGAGAUUUUUUUUUUUUCAGUUCAUUGUUUUUCUUUUUAUUGCAUUUAUUGAAGUAUGUACCCCCAAACAACGUAGCUUACUGGGAUGUAAACUGAAAUAUAGAUAAUUUUCUCUUCAACUCCAUUUACAUCAAAUUCUGUCUCUGUUAUAACACUGAAAUUGCUUGGGCAAAGGGA